rnacentral:rRNA from 1 species
AGAGUUUGAUCCUGGCUCAGGAUGAACGCUAGCUACAGGCUUAACACAUGCAAGUCGAGGGGAAACGACAUCGAAAGCUUGCUUUUGAUGGGCGUCGACCGGCGCACGGGUGAGUAACGCGUAUCCAACCUGCCCACCACUUGGGGAUAACCUUGCGAAAGUAAGACUAAUACCCAAUGACGUCUCUAGAAGACAUCUGAAAGGGAUUAAAGAUUUAUCGGUGAUGGAUGGGGAUGCGUCUGAUUAGCUUGUUGGCGGGGUAACGGCCACCAAGGCUACGAUCAGUAAGGGGUUCUGAGAGGAAGGUCCCCCACAUUGGAACUGAGACACGGUCCAAACUCCUACGGGAGGCAGCACCG